UAGCCUUGACAUACUACAGAAUUUGACAGAGAUGUUGAAGUGCCUUCGGGAGCUGUAAUACAGGUGCUGCACGGCUGUCGUCAGCUCGUGUCGUGAGAUGUUGGGUUAAGUCCCGCAACGAGCGCAACCCUCGUCACUAGUUACUAACGGUUAGGCCGAGGACUCUAGUGAGACUGCCUUCGUAAGGAGGAGGAAGGUGAGGACGACGUCAAGUCAUCAUGGCCCUUACGGCUAGGGCAACACACGUGCUACAAUGGUUAGGACAAUGAGAAGCAAUAUCGCGAGGUGGAGCAAAUCUAUAAACCUAAUCUCAGUUCGGAUUGUAGUCUGCAACUCGACUACAUGAAGCUGGAAUCACUAGUAAUCGUAGAUCAGCUAUGCUACGGUGAAUACGUUCCCGGGUCU
rnacentral:rRNA from 1 species